GAACCGCCAUAGGAGAUGCUAAGGAGGUGUAAGGAUCACAAGCUUGCCAAGGUGGAGAAUUGUUGGAAUGUCAAGGCUUGAAAGAAUCCUAGCCGUCCAUCUGAUUAAGGGAUCUUGUGGCUGUUGUUUGUUUUUUUCUUUGUUUUUUAAUUAUGGAGGGGCAUGGAUGUAAUUUGUUCCUUUUCUUGUUGUAAAUAAAAGAAACAAAAAGCAGCAGAGGGGCGGGGAGAGGGUCUAGAGAAUUUGUGUUUGCAGCUGCAAAGACCACAGCGCAGAAGGAGGUCUUCCUCCACCAACCGCAAGAGAGCACCUGCAAAACCAAAAACAGAUUGUAGCUUGCCUUCCUAGAGAGAACAACACCGCGCGCGCACGAGAGGGAGACGGCAGGAGGUGCGUGUUUGGCGUUGGGGAUCUCCAGCAGAGGUGCACGCUCAGGUAAAGCAAGGUGCAAAGGGAGGGUUUCUUAGAUUAUUCUUGGGCUGAUUUCCAGAGGAGAUCGGUAAGACAAGAAAGGGUAAAUCUGUGUGCACUUGUAUUUAUUUCCACCGAUUUAAUAUAGUGUCUCUGGAGGUGAGUUUCUACCGUGGAUGUAGGCCAAUUUUUGGGCCGAACCACGUAAAUGUGUUCUUGUGGAUUGUGCUUAUGACAUAUUGUUUAUACUUUGCUGAAUAUUGGAUUGGUGAAUGUAUAUUUUUCUUGAUCAGACUUAGCACAGACACGUGUCAAAAUAAACAGGUUUAAGUUUA